GCUUGAGAUACACCAUCCUGAACCUUGGCCCCUGGCCACAUUCUUUCCUGAUGGGUAGAGGAGGGUAAAGUUAAUACUCACAGGAGUAUUGUAUUUCCAGUUCUUAACUGUGCUGCCUGCAAGCAUGGCACAAGAACUACAUGGGCAAACAAACUACUGAAUUUCAGCAAGGCAGUUUAGCAAAUUCUUUUAUAAAUUUGAAGGAACCUGUGGAUUGGAUGAUUCUGCGUUGUGGCAGCAUUGUCAACUGAUGGACCCACCAGUUCCUGAAUCCUGCUGACUAAUGGAUCAUUGUCAACUUGCUGGAGCUUUGAGGAAGCCUGUGUGAGUAUUGUGGCUGUGCUUCUGUUCCAGUCUUCUUUAUUGAGGGAAAUAUUUGAGAAGAGUCCUUACUGCUUAAAACUAAAGCUUGGGAAUUGCUUGCUUGAGUUAGAUUUACCCAAAAAAGAAAAACGUAAAAAAAGAGACAAAAUGUAAGCAAGCUACACUGAUACACGUCUCGGACACAGCUUCCUCCACCCCAUGCCAGGCUAUGUGCUGCCAUUUGAACGGGUAUCAACUUUCUUGUUGUUUAAAAGGAAAGGGCCCUGGUGGGCUGAUUCUGUGACUCGGUGCACAUAUGGCAGACCCAGUGCUGUCAUAAAGAAUUCAGUGAUCCCAGAACUGAUUUAUUUUAUUUUGUUUUUAAAUCUGAAGACCAGGUUCUUUUGAGGUAUUAAGUUCUGGGCACCAGCGUUUGCAGAUAUAUCACUGCUCAGGGCAGAAAUGCCUUCCUGUGCAGGGAAACCUCCCAAGAAGAGUGAGCCUCCUCUCCUCCUGCUGGUGAGACCAGAGAAGUGUUUCUAACAUUGUUGAAAUGAAGCAAAGUUAUCCUUCUUUUGACCCUGCUGUAGCAUCUGGGGUCAUCUUUUUGUUUACUGUGUAUUUGUUUUUGACCUUCAGAAGGUCCUGGUGGCACAGCCCAACAAAGACUAGAGAAUAAAACAAACAG
rnacentral:lncRNA from 1 species